UACGGGGGGGGGCAAGCGUUGUUCGGAAUUACUGGGCGUAAAGGGCUCGUAGGCGGCCAACUAAGUCAUACGUGAAAUCCCUCGGCUUAACCGGGGAACUGCGUCUGAUACUGGAUGGCUUGAGUUUGGGAGAGGGAUGCGGAAUUCCAGGUGUAGCGGUGAAAUGCGUAGAUAUCUGGAGGAACACCGGUGGCGAAGGCGGCAUCCUGGACCAACACUGACGCUGAGGAGCGAAAAGCCAGGGGAGCAAACGGG
rnacentral:rRNA from 1 species